GGGGCUGUAGCUCAGUUGGUAGAGCGUCGCCAUGGCAUGGCGAAGGCCACGGGUUCAAUUCCCGUCAGCUCCA
rnacentral:tRNA from 1 species